UUUGAAGUUUGGAGUAACUCGAAAAAUGAUUAAUGCAAAUAGACGUAAUGCGCAAAUACGUAGAACGGUCAUAAUCGCGAGUAACCAAAAAAACACCCAGUCUGA